rnacentral:tRNA from 1 species
GCCCUCGUAGCCCAAUGGGCAGAGGCCGCAGCUCGAGAGGCUGUGAGGUGUAGGUUCGAAUCCUACCGAGGGCACCA